GCUUGGUUAGCGUUCUGGUGAGUGCAUCCAGCUGUUAACUGGAGAUAGGAAGGUUCGAUCCCUUCACCAAGCG
rnacentral:tRNA from 1 species